rnacentral:rRNA from 1 species
CUUCGGUGGGGAUUAGUGGCGAACGGGUGAGUAACACGUGGGCAAUCUGCCCUGCACUCUGGGACAAGCCCUGGAAACGGGGUCUAAUACCGGAUACUGAUCCGCCUGGGCAUCCAGGCGGUUCGAAAGCUCCGGCGGUGCAGGAUGAGCCCGCGGCCUAUCAGCUUGUUGGUGAGGUAACGGCUCACCAAGGCGACGACGGGUAGCCGGCCUGAGAGGGCGACCGGCCACACUGGGACUGAGACACGGCCCAGACUCCUACGGGAGGCAGCAGUGGGGAAUAUUGCACAAUGGGCGCAAGCCUGAUGCAGCGACGCCGCGUGAGGGAUGACGGCCUUCGGGUUGUAAACCUCUUUCAGCAGGGAAGAAGCGCAAGUGACGGUACCUGCAGAAGAAGCGCCGGCUAACUACGUGCCAGCAGCCGCGGUAAUACGUAGGGCGCGAGCGUUGUCCGGAAUUAUUGGGCGUAAAGAGCUCGUAGGCGGCUUGUCGCGUCGGUUGUGAAAGCCCGGG